AGAGUUUGAUCAUGGCUCAGGACGAACGCUGGCGGCAUGCCUAAUACACGCAAGUCGAACGAUGAAUCUCUCUGCUUGCAGAGAGAGGAAGAGUGGCGAACGGGUGAGUAACACGUGAGGAACUUGCCCAUAAGAGGGGGAUAACAUCCGGAAACGGGUGCUAAUACCGCAUACGUAACACAUUCGCAUGAACGUGUUAUUAAAGGUGGCUCUGCUACCGCUUAUGGAUAGCCUCGCGGUGCAUUAGCUAGUUGGUGGGGUAACGGCCUACCAAAGCGAUGAUGCAUAGCCGACUUGAGAGGGUGAUCGGCCACACUGGGACUGAGACACGGCCCAGACUCCUACGGGAAGCAGCAGUAGGGAAUCUUCCACAAUGGGUGCAAACCUGAUGGAGCAAUGCCGCGUGAGUGAAGAAGGACUUCGGUUCGUAAAGCUCUGUUGUUAGAGAAGAACAAGGAUAGGAGUAACUGUCUAUCCCUUGACGGUACCUAACCAGAAAGUCACGGCUAACUACGUGCCAGCAGCCGCGGUAAUACGUAGGUGACAAGCGUUGUCCGGAUUUAUUGGGCGUAAAGCGAGCGCAGGCGGUUCUUUAAGUCUGAUGUGGAAGCCCACGGCUCAACCGUGGAAUCGCAUUGGAAACUGGAGAACUUGAAUAUAGAAGAGGAAAGUGGAAUUCCAAGUGUAGCGGUGGAAUGCGUAGAUAUUUGGAGGAACACCAGUGGCGAAGGCGACCUUCUGGUCUAUUAUUGACGCUGAGGCUCGAAAGCGUGGGUAGCAAACAGGCUUAGAUACCCUGGUAGUCC
rnacentral:rRNA from 1 species